UGCUUGGCUCUCGGGGGUGGCUGGGGCCUUCGGGUGGCGCCGGACUGGAGGCCACGCGCUUGGUGAUGUGCUCAUUGUACGUCGGUGGGCCUCGCUUGUUGGGGCUGCUGGCAAGAAGAGAAGGGGGCAGGGAGCUGGGGAGUCACGAUCCCCAAAGGGUGUCCCCCUUCUACUCUGUGGCCCCACACCUCAACGUCACCACCACUGUUUAGAAAAAGGCCAGGCCUGGAGCCCGGACCUCCUGCUUCUUGUGUCUGGGCAGUGAGGACAGGGAAGGCAGCAGCCACCACAACAGGAAGCCAAACUUCCUGGCCACAGUAAAGGCCACGCCUCCUGUGCGGGCUCUGUGGCGAAGCUCUUCCUGUGUGUGACCCCCUCAUCUUGUUGGAUCACAGCAUCCCGGGGAGCCGGAAGCAAGCAAGACCCUCACUGAACAGGCAAGAAAUGGAGACACAGGGCAGCGAGGUGACUGCUUGUGCUGGAUUCCAAACCAGGGGCUCUAACUGGGGACUCAGUGCUCAGAAGGCCCACACCCCUGUGAUGUCUGUGAAGCAGUGACACUCAGAUUCCUACAUCUUGAAAUCAAGGUUCAUGUGCUCAUCUAGCCAUACAGCUCUGAGAUACAAAGACAAAUAACAAAUACACUCCAAGAGGAGGACUACAUGAAGCCUAUUGUAAUGGCAGAGAAAUCAUAACCCCUGUCUUCAGAGGCCCAUCAAAGAGCAGCGUGAGGGCGCUCGGUGCCCAGGGAAAGCAGGCAGGCCCAGGGAGGACGGCAGCCGAGAUGAAUGGGAGGAAGGAAACACUCAUCAUUGGAAGCCGAGCAGGCAGUCUUCCAUCUACAUAGCCAUUAACGACCAAUGAUCUUCCACAUCCAUUUUAUGUGUUUUGCAAAGAGUUAUGUUUUUUGCUCUGCCAAACAGACCAGGAAAACGAGGCCUGCAGUGAAUCACACCCACCAAGCACCCUUGUGCAUUCUGACCUGCCCAGAGCAGUCGGCAGCAAAAGGACUGUUCCUUAAGGUGGGAGACAACCAAGACUGACUGCCGGUUCUCCAGACACGCCCGGGGGCCCCAGGGACCCAUACACAUUAUUUUUCAUCCCUGUUCACAGAUACUGCAACCAUUUUCAACUACAGAGUAAGCAACUCCUUACUGGGAAACGUAGGGUCUUGAAAGCAAGGUGUCCAGCCAUCUAAGAGGCAAUGAGGGGGGAUCUAAUUGCAAUAUUUUGACUUGUUUCUGGCAUGACUUGGAAAGCACUUAAGGAGGAUCUAGAUAUUUCAGGGGAAGAUAGUGGACCACUGAGUGAUCACUCUGGAGGCAUCAGGAAGCACCUGGCUAUUAUAACUUGUGGAUUCUUGGCAAGCUCCUGGGAUUAAAACUAUGCUUAUGAGGGCAGGUAGAGCCCGCCCAGCACACAAGAGAACCUGGGCUGGAUCCCCAGUACUUGCCAACAAACAGACCCACACUGACCAGACAUGUAGAAGGGCUGGGGCCGGGGCUGGGGCUCAGUGGCAGAGCUCUUGCUUAGCACUGGUGAGGCACUGGGUUCAAUCCUCAGCACCACAUAAAAAUAAAUUAAUUACAUAAAGGUAUUGUGUCCAUCUACCACUAAAAAUAUUUAAAAAAAGAACAAAGAGCCGAGCAUGGUGGUACAUGCCUGUAAUUCCCAGCAACUCUGGGGCUGAGGCAGGAGGAUCUUAAGUUUGAGGCCAGCCUCUUGUCCAUAGUGUAAUGAAGCACUACCCAGUAUGGGGUGCUUCAUUACAACAACAGAAAAUAGACUAAUACAUAGUGUUAUUUUUAAAAAGAGAAUUGUACACACAUAUGCUUGGAUAUGUACAAAAGAUUUCUAAGUAAAAACACAAAAACUUAAAACAUGGGUCCCUUCCUAGAUGGGGACCUAAGUGGUGGGGGCUGGGGAGAGUUGAGAGGCAUGACAGAGCCAGCAGAGAUUUUGUGCUGCCAUGUGCCUUUCUUAGUCCUUUGCAUUCUACACACUGGGAUUGGAUCAACAAUUCAAAAAUUAUGAAAUGAAUGAAAUUUAAGAAGAA